UGAGGACCCAAUCUGCUUGGGCAAUGUCAUGUAGCAGGCAAAUGCUCUCAAAGUCCUGCAAAAAGUUGUCUAUGCCUACUUCAGCUUCCGCAAACUGCUUGAAGGCUUAGUAGGGCAUUUUGGGCUUGUGUACUGGGGUGGCCGGGCCACCCAGGGCCAUUUUCCUUCCUGGAUGGGCAUGGUGUUCGUCCAAGCUCUCUGGGCCAGGAUAUAUGCCUGUGCCUCUUCGAAGAUCCGAG